UACGUAGGGUGCAAGCGUUAAUCGGAAUUACUGGGCGUAAAGCGUGCGCAGGCGGUUUUGUAAGUCUGACGUGAAAUCCCCGGGCUCAACCUGGGAAUUGCGUUGGAGACUGCAAGGCUAGAAUCUGGCAGAAGGGGGUAGAAUUCCACGUGUAGCAGUGAAAUGCGUAGAGAUGUGGAGGAACACCGAUGGCGAAGGCAGCCCCCUGGGAUAACACUGACGCUCAUGCACGAAAGCGUGGGGAGCAAACAGG
rnacentral:rRNA from 1 species